AACGAACGCUGGCGGCAGGCCUAACACAUGCAAGUCGAACGAGAUCUUCGGAUCUAGUGGCGCACGGGUGAGUAACGCGUAGGAAUCUACCUAUCAGUCUGGGAUAACAGUUGGAAACGACUGCUAAUACCGGAUAUUCCCUGCGGGGGAAAGAUUUAUCGCUGAUAGAUGAGCCUGCGUUAGAUUAGCUUGUUGGUGAGGUAAUGGCUCACCAAGGCUACGAUCUAUAGCUGGUCUGAGAGGAUGAUCAGCCACACUGGGACUGAGACACGGCCCAGACUCCUACGGGAGGCAGCAGUGGGGAAUAUUGGGCAAUGGGCGCAAGCCUGACCCAGCCAUGCCGCGUGAGUGAUGACGGCCUUAGGGUUGUAAAGCUCUUUCGAUGGUGAAGAUGAUGACCGUAACCAUUAAAGAAGCCCCGGCUAACUUCG
rnacentral:rRNA from 1 species